rnacentral:rRNA from 1 species
AAAUGUAACGGAGGCGCCCAAAGGUUCCCUCAGAAUGGUUGGAAAUCAUUCGCAGAGUGUAAAGGCACAAGGGAGCUUGACUGCGAGACCUACAAGUCGAGCAGGGACGAAAGUCGGGCUUAGUGAUCCGGUGGUUCCGCAUGGAAGGGCCAUCGCUCAACGGAUAAAAGCUACCCCGGGGAUAACAGGCUUAUCUCCCCCAAGAGUCCACAUCGACGGGGAGGUUUGGCACCUCGAUGUCGGCUCAUCGCAUCCUGGGGCUGUAGUCGGUCCCAAGGGUUGGGCUGUUCGCCCAUUAAAGCGGUACGCGAGCUGGGUUCAGAACGUCGUGAGACAGUUCGGUCCCUAUCCGUCGCGGGCGCAGGAAAUUUGAGAGGAGCUGUCCUUAGUACGAGAGGACCGGGAUGGACGCACCGCUGGUGUACCAGUUGUUCUGCCAAGGGCAUCGCUGGGUAGCUAUGUGCGGACGGGAUAAGUGCUGAAAGCAUCUAAGCAUGAAGCCCCCCUCAAGAUGAGAUUUCCCAUUCCGCAAGGAAGUAAGAUCCCUGAAAGAUGAUCAGGUUGAUAGGUCUGAGGUGGAAGCGUGGUGACACGUGGAGCUGACAGAUACUAAUAGAUCGAGGACUUAACCUAU